rnacentral:rRNA from 1 species
UACGUAGGGGGCAAGCGUUGUUCGGAAUUACUGGGCGUAAAGGGCGCGUAGGCGGCACAGCAAGUCGGGAGUGAAAGCCCGGGGCUCAACCCCGGAACGUCUUUCGAAACUGCUGAGCUCGAGUGCGGAAGAGGCAACUGGAAUUCCCAGUGUAGCGGUGAAAUGCGUAGAUAUUGGGAAGAACACCUGAGGCGAAGGCGGGUUGCUGGGCCGACACUGACGCUGAGGCGCGAAGGCCAGGGGAGCAAACGGG